rnacentral:ncRNA from 2 species
UGUUCCGCACGUGGUAAUUUGAGCCGGUCGGCUUGCGGCCACGUUAAACAACCAGCUAAAAUGGCCGGGCAAGCACCCGG